rnacentral:rRNA from 1 species
GAUGAACGCUGGCGGCGUGCCUAAUACAUGCAAGUCGAGCGAACAGAUGAGGAGCUUGCUCCUCUGACGUUAGCGGCGGACGGGUGAGUAACACGUGGAUAACCUACCUAUAAGACUGGGAUAACUUCGGGAAACCGGAGCUAAUACCGGAUAAUAUAUUGAACCGCAGGGUUCAAUAGUGAAAGACGGUUUUGCUGUCACUUAUAGAUGGAUCCGCGCCGCAUUAGCUAGUGGUUAAGGUAACGGCUUACCAAGGCGACGAUGCGUAGCCGACCUGAGUGAGUGAUCGGCCACACUGGAACUGAGACACGGUCCAGACGCCUACGGGAGGCAGCAGUAGGGAAUCGUCCGCAAUGGGCGAAAGCCUGACGGAGCAACGCCGCGUGAGUGAUGAAGGUCUUCGGAUCGUAAAACUCUGUUAUUAGGGAAGAACAAAUGUGUAAGUAACUAUGCACGUCUUGACGGUACCUAAUCAGAAAGCCACGGCUAACUACGUG